CAAUAGCGUAUAUUUAAGUUGUUGCAGUUAAAAAGCUCGUAGUUGGAUUUCUGCUGAUCGCUGUCGGUCUGCCGUCAGGUGUGUACUGGCAGUGUUUGGCAUCUAUUCGAAAUUGGGUGUCCACUUGAUUGUGUGCACUCGAUGUCGGAGCUAAUACUUUGAGAAAAUUAGAGUGUUCCACGCAGGCGCGUGCCUUGAAUACUGCAGCAUGGGAUAUUGGAAGGCCGAUUGAGCUUUCUUGUUGGUUCUCGGUUUGAUCGGAAUGAUUAAUAGGGAUAGUUGGGGGCAUUCGUAUUCAACUGUCAGAGGUGAAAUUCUUGGAUUUGUUGAAGACGGACUACUGCGAAAGCAUCUGCCAUGGAUGUUCUCAUUGA
rnacentral:rRNA from 1 species